GACAUGGCGGUGAACCUGAGCCGGAACGGGCCGGCGCUGCAGGAGGCCUAUGUGCGGGUGGUCACCGAGAAAUCCCCGACCGACUGGGCUCUUUUUACCUAUGAAGGCAACAGCAAUGACAUCCGUGUGGCUGGCACAGGGGAGGGAGGCCUGGAGGAGCUGGUGGAGGAGCUCAACAGCGGGAAGGUGAUGUACGCCUUCUGCAGGGUGAAGGACCCCAACUCUGGCCUGCCCAAGUUUGUCCUCAUCAACUGGACAGGCGAGGGUGUGAAUGAUGUGCGAAAAGGAGCAUGUGCCAACCACGUCAGCACCAUGGCCAACUUCCUAAAGGGUGCCCAUGUGACCAUCAACGCACGGGCUGAGGAAGAUGUGGAGCCUGAGUGCAUCAUGGAGAAGGUUGCCAAGGCUUCUGGGGCUAAUUACAGCUUCCAUAAGGAAAGCAGCUGCUUCCAGGAUGUGGGGCCUCAGGCCCCAGUGGUGAGUGCUGCCCACCUUUCUCCAUGCCUGAGAACAGGGAUCAGAAAUGGAGUUUCUGCCUAGCAAGUGCAAGGCCCUGGGUUCGGUCCCCAGCUCCGAAAAAAAGAGAAAAAAAAAAAAAAAGAAAGAAAGAAAUGGCGUUUCUAAUGUCUAGGUAACUAAGUCCUCCUGCCUGGCAUCUUCAGAGGGUAAUCCUAAGCCCUGGUGGGCACCAACCCACUGGCUUGGCAAAGGCCCUUCAGCAACUGUCUACAGCUGAGAGAGCCUACAAGGGCUACAGCGUCAGCAUGCCUUGGAUGGCCUCUGGUAGUGGCCAUUGUGGAGGACGUCUGGUGGCUUUGUUGUGGAACCUAAAACCACACAGGCAUGCAUUUCUGGCAUUAUGUGGAGCUCAUGGCCGCACAGCACUUGUUAGUCAUACAGUUGGGAUCCAUGGUGAUUCUCCGGGAUGCUGUCAGCUGUCAGCUGUCGGGAGCAGCCUGCUUUAGAGCUGCCAGGA
rnacentral:lncRNA from 1 species